AUUUUCGUCUAAACAAUGCUUCGUUAUUCUCUUGCAAUUCACUAAUAAGAAAUGCGCUGUGAUCGUCGGAUUUUCAACUUAAAUGGUGCAGUGGAAAAAUGUGCCGAAUAUACCAACCGAUGGGAACAAGGAAGAUCCGGAUAUUGGAUCCCAGUUUAAAGAAGAAAAGCAGGAGAAAAGUCAUUCCCCAUGGUCGUCUAGGCAUGCGAUUUCAUCUUCCGGAGUAAGUCGGACGAUCUGGAGCAAGAUCCGGAACUUGAUCCUCGGCAAAUGGUGGAUUAAAAUUCAAUUUUGAUAUUUCCCGAAUCACGAUUUGACUGCAGUAGCUCAAGAGUUGUAGGAUCCCCAAGCCGGGAGAGUACAGCAUCAUACGUGACCAUACCUCAAUCGAAGUUGUGAACCAUCGAUGGAAAAAUAAUUUUAUGUUAGAAUGAAUGUUUUUUAAUCCAUGUUAAAAGAUGUAACUUGUUAGUUUAAUUCUAUAUCGUUUUAAUUAAAUAAAACAAC